UAAUAUUGUUACUGUUAGAGUUUGUUGGGGUGAGGAACAGGGUCUCAGUGGUUCUGGUUGGAAGUUCUCUUGUUGUAUGUCUUGCCUUUGUAGUUAAUCAUUUUAUUCUCUUCGGAAAAAAGUCAGGUCUUCUUGUUGUUUAGGUGAUGAGGGUGUUCUUGUUUUUUGAAAUUGGUGUGCUUGCUGUUUUUUCUUCUUGCCUGUGUAGUUUUUGUGUUUUGUGUUUUCUAUGGGGUUUGUCACUUUUGGAAGUCUGAAGACGGGGAGAAUUUUCCUGUGGAGACAGGAUGAGAGAAGAAAGUCUCUCCGAUGGAGGUUUCGAGAUGAGAGUAGAAUGUUAUC
rnacentral:lncRNA from 1 species